UGCAAGUCGAGCGAACAGAUAAGGAGCUUGCUCCUUUGACGUUAGCGGCGGACGGGUGAGUAACACGUGGGUAACYUACCUAUAAGACUGGAAUAACUCCGGGAAACCGGKGCUAAUGCCGGAUAACAUGUUGAACCGCAUGGUUCUACAGUGAAAGGCGGCUUUGCUGUCACUUAUAGAUGGACCCGCGCCGUAUUAGCUAGUUGGUGAGGUAACGGCUCACCAAGGCAACGAUACGUAGCCGACCUGAGAGGGUGAUCGGCCACACUGGAACUGAGACACGGUCCAGACUCCUACGGGAGGCAGCAGUAGGGAAUCUUCCGCAAUGGGCGAAAGCCUGACGGAGCAACGCCGCGUGAGUGAUGAAGGUCUUCGGAUCGUAAAACUCUGUUAUUAGGGAAGAACAAAUGCGUAAGUAACUGUGCGCGUCUUGACGGUACCUAAUCAGAAAGCCACGGCUAACUACGUGCCAGCAGCCGCGGUAAUACGUAGGUGGCAAGCGUUAUCCGGAAUUAUUGGGCGUAAAGCGCGCGUAGGCGGUUUUUUAAGUCUGAUGUGAAAGCCCACGGCUCAACCGUGGAGGGUCAUUGGAAACUGAAAAACUUGAGUGCAGAAGAGGAAAGUGGAAUUCCAUGUGUAGCGGUGAAAUGCGCAGAGAUAUGGAGGAACACCAGUGGCGAAGGCGACUUUCUGGUCUGUAACUGACGCUGAUGUGCGAAAGCGUGGGGAUCAAACAGGAUUAGAUACCC
rnacentral:rRNA from 1 species